UUAUUGGUAUGCGGUCUCACUGAUUUGGUGCUUCAGUUCAAGAUGGCGAACGAUGCGAGCAAACUACUACUGUCUUCACACCAAGAAAAAACCAGUCAUUAUACCUACCUGAAGGAGUUCCGCGUGGAGCAAUGCCAGUCGUUCCUGCAGCACAAAUGCAACCAGCAUCGCCCCUUCGUUUGCUUCAAUUGGCAUUUUCAAAAUCAGCGUCGUCGACGGCCAGUACGUAAACGCGAUGGCACAUUUAAUUACAGCGCUGAUAAUUAUUGCACCAAAUAUGAUGAAACAACUGGAAUCUGUCCCGAAGGCGAUGAAUGUCCCUUCCUACACCGAACAGCCGGCGACACCGAGCGUCGAUACCAUUUACGCUACUACAAGACAUGCAUGUGUGUGCACGAUACGGACAGCCGGGGAUAUUGUGUGAAGAAUGGACUUCACUGCGCUUUUGCGCACGGCAUGCAGGACCAGCGACCACCGGUGUAUGAUAUCAAAGAGCUGGAGACACUGCAGAAUUCGGAUAUAUCGUUGGACGGUACCAAUGCACAAAAUGCGCUCGAUAAGGAGCGAAACCUAAUGAACGAGGAUCCCAAGUGGCAGGACACCAACUAUGUGCUGGCCAACUACAAAACCGAGCCAUGCAAGCGUCCGCCCCGUUUGUGUCGCCAGGGCUAUGCCUGUCCACAGUACCACAACAGCAAGGAUAAACGUCGCUCGCCCAGAAAGUACAAAUACAGGUCCACACCAUGUCCCAAUGUCAAGCACGGCGAGGAGUGGGGCGAACCGGGUAACUGUGAGGCCGGUGACAAUUGCCAGUAUUGUCACACACGCACCGAGCAACAGUUUCAUCCGGAAAUCUACAAGUCCACAAAAUGCAACGAUGUACAACAGGCUGGCUACUGCCCUCGCAGCGUCUUCUGCGCCUUUGCGCAUGUGGAACCUUAUCUUGUCAACGAGCAGAAGAAGCGCGAUCAAGAAAUUGCCUUAAGCGAACUCAUUUCCAAUGGCUUGUCCGGUAUGAAGAUGCAGGAUGAGGUCGCUAAUGGCAAACUGUCUACAGGACUGCUCCAACUGAGCAAUAAUCCUGUACAUUGGAAGAUCCACGCGAGAAUUCGCUAUCGGCAAGUCUGGUUAACACUAGUUUAUUAACACGUUCCUCGGCGCCAAUUAACAUUCCUAAUACGACACUAAGUAACUCUAUUAACGACUUCAAUUCAAGUGGUUUUGCCGUCAACAUUCCCAGCAGCUCGCUCACAUACAGCCCGACAAAUCAUGCCAAUCUAUUCAAUGUGUAUGGCG
rnacentral:misc_RNA from 1 species